GAAGGGGAACACUUCGAGGGGAGCCUGCUGCCGGUAUUGAGUUAUGAGAGAUCCUCGGGUGGAUCGGACCCCGUAAGGAUUGACAGAUUGAGAGCUCUUUCUUGAUUCGGUGGGUGGUGGUGUAAGGAGUUCUUAGUUGGUGGAGCGAUUUGUCUGGCUAGUUCCGAUAACGAACGAGACUCUAGCCUGCUAAAUAGGGAGUGGAUUAUUCGUCCACUGUACUUGUUAGAGGGACAAGCAGCGUCUAGUUGCACGAGAUUGAGCAAUAACCUGUCUGUGAUGCCCUAAAGAUGUUAGGGGCUGCACGCGCGCUACACUGAAGGAAUCAAUAUGCGUCUUCGUUUUUUCAAAAAGGGGGGGGGAAAAACCCCCCCCCCCCCCCCCCUUUUUUUUUUUUUUUUGUCCCCCCCCCCCCCUUUUUUUUUUUUUUUAAGAAAAGAAGAGGAAAAAAGCACCCCCCCCCCCCCCCCCCCCCCGGGGAAAAAAAAAAAAAAUAAAUUUUUUUUUUUUCGCGCCCGC
rnacentral:rRNA from 1 species